CGGCGGAGGAUGGCGCCUGGGAGGAGAAGGGAGCCGCGACCGCUCCCCCGCCCCGCAGGAGGAGCGCCUCGGAGCCGGCGGGCGGGCGGCCCCCCCGGCCUGGCGCGGAGCGGAGCCCAGCGGCACCCCGGGCGAGCGGCCGCCGGCCGGCGCCUCCCCCCGCCCGCAGCCAGGAGCCGGCCGGGCACGACAAGGUGAAGCGAGCCGCGGCCUGGGAGGAGGGAUUUGCGUUUCAGAGUGACUUUAUGCGUUCCACAGUACUCGGGCCACAGGCAGACGCACACGAGACGUCGUCCAGAACACGGUCACGCUUGUCACGUUGAAGUGCUUGAUAAGAAACUUGAAAUAAAACCAAAUGUCUCACUGGAGUUCCUUUAACAAUUUCUGGCUGUACAACAGGAAUAUUCUACAUUUGAUACAGCUUCCGUACAAAAAGAGCUCUAACUGCCGAUGGUUAUGGGGUGAUGGAUAGGAUAAUUGCCCAUUUUACAGACUCUACUCUGACAAAGAGCAAGGAUGUGAUCUGUCCACCUCACUAAGCUGAUUUAAUGGGGAGCCGUUGCUGAAAGGCGGGGGGCGGCGCAGGGGAUACGGCUCCUCACACCCUCCCCUGCAGCAGAACCGGUGGAUCCCUAACCCUGCGGCCAGCUGGUUCCCAGACCCAUCUGCUCAAAUGCAUAAAGGACCAAAUAAAUCCCCGCGGGUCGCCUGCUUUCUGUCUGCGCGGCUCCUUGGCCCGGCUCGCCGCAGGGCCUGGCCGGCACCACUGCUGGCUGCGGCGCCGUGACGGAGCGAUGAAAGCUGCGAGAUGGGCAGCGGGAGCGCAGCAGGGCAGGAGUGCCCUGCUUGCACAGCUAAACAACAGACGGGCUCAACGCCAUCCACAGUGCAGCAUUCCUGCCCUAUGUAAUACGCAUACAGUGUGUCCGCAGGAAUGGAGCUGUGGCAAGAAAGACUACACAGGCAAAAUAAAGCUUGGAUAUUAGGAUUUAGCACAAGUACUUAUGCUGAUGCAUCUUCCACGUUCCAAAUCAGAUUCUGCCACAUCAACAUGGGAUUCUUCCAGACAGACCCACCCAAGAGAUCAGGCAGGAUCACAGUGCUGGUGCCUAUACUGUGACUGCAAUCUGGUCUAAUGACUGAGAGGACGCUCUGAAUUUUUAAGAGCAUAAAACCAGAAUCUUACUGAUUAAGACCGGCUUUUGUCUAGUACUGUAACCUCUCUCCAGCAGCUGAGUUAACGCCUAUUACCAGUAAAAAACCCACACAAUCCACAAACCCUCUGUCAAAGAUUAUAAGAACUUUCAAAAAUAAAUCUCACACAUAAAGAGCUAAGCUUGAAUCACA